rnacentral:tRNA from 1 species
UAAAUUAGAAAGCGAAUUAUUGCAUUUAGUUUCGACCUAAAUUUUAGGCUCAAAGCCUUCUAAUUUUU